rfam:Pseudomonas sp. VI4.1 NODE_2_length_262271_cov_37.1556, whole genome shotgun sequence.
UUGCGCAAGUCAUGUUUAUUUGAGCAAUCUUCGCAAUCCUCUGUCGCGGCCUUCAGCCUAUUCUUAUCACCAGAAUCACUGCUCGGACAAACAGUCCACAGCGGCUCGCCCAAUCAGGCCAGCUGCGGUCGCCACUCCCCACAGGGGAUGAGCCGGCCCCCGAGCUGCACACUGUCCAGAAGACGGCGUGAGGUGAGCCGACGUCAAAAGCGUCGAGCACGGACGAAGUUCUCAAAGGGAGGCCGACGGGUCUCCCU